rnacentral:tRNA from 1 species
AGUCGCAUGGGACGUCGGCCUCUCACGCCGGAAACAGGGGUUCGAUUCCCCUUGGGGCUACCA